UAACUAAUAACUAAAGUAAUUUUCUCUUUAUUAUUUCAAAAUUAUUUCCUCUAACCGGGACUUAAAGUCCCACUGAUCAUGAGAUAGAUCCGCCUCUGACUUCCUAUGCACCCACCCUCAAAGUAAAUAUGUUCCCUUCAAAUUAGACCAUUGACCUCUACUUACAUUACAAAGAAGACAAAUCAACCGAGCUAUCCUUUUUUUCAAUUUCAACGUCCAUAUUUGCUUAUGUAUCAUCAAGCAAAAUUCAAGAGAAACAAAAACUGGUUCUUACGAAUAUUAUGGAUCUAGCUUGAUAUCUUUCUUAUGUAAUAACCAUACUAGAACUUUUAAAACAGAAAUAUUACAUAUAAUUUAAGGGCACUUUUCUUUUUCACACCGACAUCACAUUUUUUGCAAGGGACAAAUAUAUACAUUCAUCGGUGACUAAGGGACAAAUAUAUCCAUUCAUCAUUGGUCAGUCAAAUAUUGUCAACUGUUCGAAUAAAUGGAAAAACUAACGGUGCAGGGACAAGAUGUAGAUUUAUAUAUCUUUGGGGUAAUUUUCAAUAAAUGAUGGGGGUAUGGUGAAAUUUGUCCCACAAGUAUUUUUGUAAAUUCGGAAAUGAUGGAAAUUUAUCUUAGAGAUAGGUUUAAGGACACAAAUUUGAUUACUUGUUGACAUCGUGGAGCGGGCUUAUCCCUUUAUCAACGAGAUGCCACCAAAUGAAUGGAGCUAAGAUGAUAAGUGCCGUUCUUCUAGGGCUCUUUCAAUCAAUUCAAGAUCAAUUUUUUCUCUUUGGAUAAUAAGCUAAGAUUAUAUAUAUAUGUGUGUGUGUGUGUUGUUUUAUUUAAGGAUUUUGGAUUUUAUUAAAAUUUGAAAAAAAUUAUUAAAUUAUAUGACUUAAUAGUAUAAUAGCGAAUUUUAACAAAAGUUAGGAUUUUGGAUUGGAACAUAUAUCAUAUAAAACUAUACAUGUAUUUUAUGAUAGAGUUAUCCUGCCACCUUUCUCUUUCUAUAUAUAUAUAUUACUAUUUUUUAAAUUAAAAUAAAUGAAAACAUAAUUUGACCCAUGAGAUAACAAACAGUAGAAUUGAAACUGAGAUCUCGAUGCAGCCAAACACCACAUCUCAAACCACUAAUCGAACUGCAAGACGCUUAAAGAUUAUAUAUGAUAUGUCAUAAUACACACACACACACACACACAUACAUACAUAUACAUAUAAAUAUAAAACGACGACAAUAUGGGCAUCAACUCUGACGUUUAUUGUUGGAACAAAACUUAGGCAGAAAAUGGAAGAACAAAUACAAGCUAAAACGUGUACUGUUGAGGAAUAUUUGACAAUGUCAAUAAAAUUUUUCUUCAUGAAUCUAAGAAGAUCCGGAAUGGAAAGAAACAGAUCAUUGAAGAGGACCUGACGUCAUGACUAGUCUUGCUCAAACCGAGAACAGAAAUUUCAACAAUGUUGUUGUUGUUGGAGACUUGGUUUUGUUUCUUACUGCUUCCUAAAAAUUACAGGGACAACGGUCCAUUUAGUUUUGAGCAUUUGCUCUUACUCUGGGUGAUUGUAGUCAAAGCUCCUCGAUUUAUGUGUCAACAACAAUCUCUUUUAUUCUCUUAUCCAUUUCGUUUACCCGUUUUCUGCCUUCAUAUUACCAUUUCCAAAUAAAAUAAAGAAAAACCGGAAGCAUAUCUUUCGAGAAUGGCUUGAGUAAGACCCUUUUUUAACUGCAUAGUUCGGGAAUAUGUACGUACCUACUACCUAGAAUAAGCUAUAGUUCCUUGUCUGUGAAAAUUUUAUAUCAAUACAAUAUUAAUGCCCUCAUAUAUAUCUUAUAUACUACUAAGUACUGAUAUGUUAAAUAUGUAAAGUUUA
rnacentral:lncRNA from 1 species